AAUAUUUUUCGAUUUUACAAAAAGUUUUGAAGUAUGAUUGCAUAGAUGUUAUUAAACUUGAUUAGUUUUUCCAAUGACUAAUUUGGGAUUUAUAUUGCUUAUGUGUAUGCAUAUCUAUGUGUUUGUUUGUUGAUGUAGUUUAGUUCUAUAUGAGCGACAAGUCGAGAGUAGCAUUAGUGAUUACUUAAGUAGCGUUAUACUUAUGAGAUUGAGAUAGUUGGAGUGUAGUAAUGAGGAGUGACAGAAUAGUACUAAGAUAUGAAGAGCAUUCUUAGUAAGAAGGUUCCUAACCGAUUUCUUUUAUCUUAGCCCAUGGAUUAUCUUCGAUGUUAUGAUAUCAGAAGAUACGAGUAGAGGACGGAAGUGAGUUCGCCUCGAGUGCUAUGAGAGUAAGCUAAGAUCUUCAGGUAGGGCAUUACUUUUACUAUACGUAUAUAGAGAUCCCCUGCGUAUCGUAGGCCUCUUAUCCGAAUAUAUGCAUGAGAUGAUUUAACUGCUAAUUUCAGUUUUUUAUAAAGUUCAAAUGAUGAAUGACUCUUUAUGAAAUGAUAUGAAAUAUUUAUGAAAUGAUUGUCUGCCAAAAAUAUUUAUGUUUUACGUAUGUAUCCUAUAUGUGUUGGUUCGCCAACUUUAAAGGAAAUCCAAUUGGGACCCUAUGCUAGAUGAAGGUAUGCUAGUACGGAUUAACGUGGACACUCAUGGAGACCGCGAGUCGCUUGCGACCGGUCUCGGCGUCCGUGGAAGGAGGCCUCAUCCCCGGCGCGUGACAGAAAAGACAGAUAUGGAACAUAUGAAAGGAAAAUGUGACUGUUGGAUUUGUAUACUGAAAGCAAGAACGUUUUAUGCUUGUAUACAAUGUUUCCUGUGUUCACUAUUUUCUCUCCUAUCUGAUUGUGUUCAUGAUUGCAUAUGUAUGUCAUUUAUCUCUACAUAAGUUAAUUAUAUGGUGAUUAACGGAUCACAGAAGGUCAUAUGAUUGGAAUAAACUUAAGAGAUAUAAAUAGAUCACAACCGAGAUGACUCUAGGACGAGUCGUUGGUCUAGGCUUGCAGUAUAUAUGGAAAUAGUUUGUCUUGACUAUUUGUAUAUACUGGUACGUCAUAACGUAUUGAUAGGAUCACAGUGAGAUGUAUUCUUCUAUCUGACAUAAGUGAAGAAUCAAGAUCUCGGUGACUUAAUAGAAUCUUAAUACUAAUAAGAUUUCAGAUAUAUAUGUUGAUUCAUGUAUCACUUUGAUUUACUAUGGGUGAGAGUUAUAUAUUAACUUGAGUACUCUGUAUCUUGGGUGAUAGCGGUCAAUAUAUGAUAUUUGGUUAUCUGUAUUAGUACCCGUAUCCGGUAUAGGAUAAUGACAUCCCCUUAAGGAACUCAAUAAGGUUUAUUGCGUUAAACCCUGCAGGUUGAUUAAGUUCAGACGCAAUAAUAAGGUUUGAGUGGUACUGCUUAAGGAUUAUAAAGAGAUUAAUUAAUUUAAGCUGUCAGAGCUUUAAUUAAUUAAUGGAUGUCGGAUAUUUUAAAUACGGAGAUUUAAUAAGUCUAAAUACAAGCCCCGACUCAUCAUCGGUAAUAAAGGGGUAAGUCAGUAUUGAUUCUCUAGUGGAAUGAAUUAAUACUUAUGAAUUAAUUAUGAUCUGAGCUGAUCAUAAGAAUUAAUUCAUUAGAAGCCCAUCUUUAUUUCUUGUAUCUGAUCCCUGGACUGGCCCAAAGUCUCCUGAGCCCAGUAGGAGUAAAAUUCUCCCACUACAGUUAUUGGUGUCCUAGGACUAUGUUUUGUCUAUAAAUACAGCUAUAUGCUCUCAGGAUAAGACACACAAAUAAUCAGGGUUUUAGAGAGUAGUAGAGGGCGCCGUUUGUAAGUGGCCGAAUUCUUCUUGGGAAUUCUCAUAGCUCGUUGUCCAUCCAACGUUGGGAGUUGAGCGGGAUACCGGAUACAGUUCAGAAGGUCAGAACUGGAGUAUUUCAAUUCAACCAUCGACAGUAUCUACAUACAAUUCACAACUUUUGGAAAAAAGGCUCAGUUUUGGGAAGAGUUUAUUAAGUCGUGAAGAUGAAAAGAGAAAGUUGUGCGUGUAUACUGGACGGGAUGCCCAUACCGCCUGAAUAUCCGAACUGAAUUGAUUGUUCGUUGAAGUGGCGAGAAGAGUGAUUACGUGGCUGCCUACUUUGACUUUUAUUGGGCUUAUCUAUAUUGUUUUGGGCCUAUGCGCCUAUUUUAUGUCCUUUUAGGUUAGAUUAGGUUUCUUUAUUAUUAGUGCUAUAUAUAUUAGCAUUAGUUGUUUUUUAAAUAAGACACAAAACGCCACUUUUUAGAGAGCAGCCUGGGGACGUGAACUUCAGCAAAUUAUUCAAGUUUUUCCUUUCUUUUAUUUCUCGCCACUUUUAUUUUAUUUUCUUUAUUUAUUUUUGUAUGAGUUUUAGUUAAUUUCGUUUAUUCCAGCAACGAUUAGGGAAGCACUAGCAAGAUAUUCUGUGAGAUCUAAUUUGUUCUUAUACUUUAUUUUAUGCUUGUAUCUGUGAUUCUCCGUGUUUAUCGUUAUUAAUUGUUUUAAUCCAUUAGGUAGUGCGCAAUAUUUAGUGGGUUAGAAUUAAUUAUACAGCCAAUUGAAUCGGCCAUCCGUAAUUGUGGUUUAGGUUUGAUUAGUGGUAAAUUGACACAUCAGGGUCAAGGGAAAAGCAGUCUUAAUUCAAUAAUCCUGCGUCAGAGUUUAUUGGUUUUGAAUUGGGUUUCUCUAGUAAUUAAUGUUGUCGGCUCAUUAAACCUAUAGAGCGUCUCUUACGGUUGUCAGUCGAUUAGGGUAGUAAUUAGUGAAGCGUCUUCCUGGUUACCGAAUAAUUAAGGAGAAAUAAGAUCACGUCAGAAGCGUCUUCGGUGAUUAUAACUGGUUUGCUUGCAUGAAUUAAAGUUAUAUUUGCAUCAAUGAUCAGAAUAAUUAAGCUAGGGUGGACUUAAUUGAUUGCUGGAAUUCUUUAUUAAUUGUUUGAUUUUUCUAUUUAUUUAUUUAGUAUUAGAACCAUUGCAAUUCUUUUGGAUUUUAUUUAUUUAUUUUUAGAUUUAGUAUUGUAAUACCCCGCAGUUUUCCUUAUUAUUUAUUUUGAGGAUUCGCUAUUAGAGUAUCGAGAUUCUAGCAUUAGCUUAUUAGGGAUGGAAUUUUUUUUUAUAAGAUUGAGAUGUGAGUAUUUAGAAGUUGAUGAUAGAACUAAUGAGAUUUUGAUAGAAAUGCUGAUUAAAUUGAGGAGAUAAUGUAGUUUAUGUUUCCGAUAAAGGAAGCUUAAUUAUUUUUGAGACAAUUUAUAGUGUUAUGUUAAGAGGAUACCUGGCUAGAUAUAGAGCCGAGGUGAUAGAGUGAGACUUACUAUAGAGAUGAGUCGAAUUCAUGAGACAAUUAAAUUGUCGUUAGAUUUUGACUGAUUGAGAGGUCAUGUUUGAGUGAGAAUAAUUGUUUUUUUUGUGUGACCUAUGUGGUGAUAACAGUUGAGAUUGAUUGAUUUAUAAUUUUCUUGGACGUUGUAACAUAGAGAUAAUUUUUUUUUAAUGGUGAAUUGUGAUCUCACUUUUAUAUUAUAAUUUUUUCCUAUUGGAAUUUUCUUGAAUUUAUUUGAGCUGGAUGUGAUGUGAAUUAUGUGUAUUCUAAUUAUGAUUAAUUAUUUUGAUCACACCAUUACAUGAUAUUGGAUUUAUGAUAUUUAAUUAGAGGAUAAUUUCCUUGGCCUAACUUUUACUACACAUUUUUACCAUUUACAUUUAUUCUUUAAUUACCAUUUAGCUAAGGUUAUUUGUGCAAGUGGGCAAGUGGCAUAUGUAGUAUUGGAGAAGCUAAUUUUGGAUAAGAGAUCAAGUGGUCAAGUGGGCAUUUAUUAAUUGGAUGACUUAGUGAGCAAGAAUGUAGGAUUAAACAAAAUUUCAUCUCCCUCUUUCUCCCAAAACUUUCGACCCUCUCUACACUCUCUUUCUCCCUCACUUCUUUCUCUCACUUCCACCAUUGUUGAGCAAUGUUCAAGCUUCCAAGAUCACAUUUCCACCAUAGAUCUUCACUAAAUCAAAUCAAAACUUCAUGUCCUUUGAAUCAAGAGCAAGAUUGAUGGAGUUUCAAGCUUGAAGUUAGAGUGAAGAAUUUUUAUUUCUUUCAAAAUCAUUGAAUACGAGUAGAGAACGGAGGUAAGAUCGCCCAAGUACUACGAGAGUAAGCUAAGUUUGUCAGGUGGGCAUUAUUUUGAGUAUACAUAUUAUACGAGCUUUCUUAAAUAAUAUGAUAUUUAUGAUUAUGAUUUGAGUUAAUGUUAUGCUUGAAACUAAUUUACUUGCCAAGUUUUAAUGAUAAACUUGUAUGUACCCUCUACUGUUGAGACGAAUUCGGUCCUGCCACAAGUGGGAUUUUGUGCACAGAGGUGACUGUGAGCCGCGAUCGGGUCGGCCGGUCACGGUACUUGAGAGGGAGGCCUACUUCUCAGUACCUUUGAUGAUGAAUAGUAUAUGGUACAUGCAUAAUGAAUAUUUAAACUGCGCAGUUACUUUAUUGUGAUGUUUAUGGUUUGCGAAAUUGCUUGCACAGGUUCGUUUAUACUAAAAUCCCUGUGUGAUGCUUAUACUGUGGCAAGUUCAAUUUAUAGCUCUAAGAGCAAGCUUUCUAUUGUUUUUCGGCAUAUGUCCACUGAGUACUUUGUACUCAGCCCUGCAUGUAUUUCUAAAUGUACAAGAUAAGCGAGGAGGAGGAAGAUCGGUCUGGUGCUGGUGGGGACUUAUUUUGGACGACGUUGUUUCUUUUACCGUAUUUCUACUUCAUACGGUAGCCUUUUGAGGUUGGAUGUUUAUAUUUUGAUCUUAGUCAGGAAAUACACUCUCGGCUAUAUGUCUUAAUACAUAUAGUCUGAUCACGUUUUGCUGCGAGACUCUGUAAAUUAUAAACCUUUGUAAAUUUUUAACUAUGCCCGCUUUGUAAACUUUGUCCAGAAUCUCUGUACUUUUGAACUUAUGAAGCCGAUAAUAUUUGUGUCUUUGAGAUGAUGUUAUUGUUGUUCAUCUUUGCAUGUUUUGUUGUGAGCUUCCGCUUGUUGUUUGAUCUAGUUCUUCCUUCUUUACUUCAUUAUUUUAUUUAGUCGUAUCGAUAUCCGGUCUACGCUAUCACUGGCUAGACGUCGGGCUGCGACAAGUAUUUUCUUAUAUUUUCCCAUUAAUUUCAUUUUAGUUGAGUUUCUUUGCAGGUUGAGUUUUAGGAGAAUUCUCACCGAUCCCCUGGGAGUUGCUUGCUACUGUCUGCGCAGUGUGGGCAUAUCGGCUGACUGCCAGAUAUUUUUGGUGUAAAACGACGCAUCAAAGUUGAGCAGGCGAUGGAAUGGAUUUGUGUUGAGCGGAUUCUCUUUUGAUGAUUAAGUAAUGAAAUCUUGAGUAUGCAUCUUCAUAUGUAUAACCCACACGUAUUUCCGCUGCAACACUCUAAUUUUCGUUAUUGCUUCUAUAUGAACUUAAUACUAUUUUAUUUCGGAUGAUGUCA